UACGUAGGGGGCAAGCGUUGUCCGGAAUCAUUGGGCGUAAAGCGCGUGUAGGCGGCCCGAUAAGUCCGCUGUGAAAGUCCAGGGCUCAACCCUGGGAUGCCGGUGGAUACUGUCGGGCUCGAGUCCGGAAGAGGAGUGUGGAAUUCCUGGUGUAGCGGUGAAAUGCGCAGAUAUCAGGAGGAACACCAAUGGCGAAGGCAGCACUCUGGGACGUGACUGACGCUGAGACGCGAAAGCGUGGGGAGCAACCAGG
rnacentral:rRNA from 1 species